CAUCACAUACGCUUUGGGUAACUCUUACAGUGGAGGACAGGAAUGUCAGAUCUCUGAGCCCAAGCCUGCAUAUAUACAUCCAGAUGGCCUGAAGCAAGUAAAGAAUCACAAAAGAAGUGAAAAUGGCCAGUUCCUGCCUUAACUGGUGACAUUACCUUGUGAAAUUCCUUCUCCUGGCUCAUCCUGACUCAAAAGCUCCCCCACUGAGCACCUUGUGACCCCCACCCCAGCCAGCCAGAGAACAACCCCCUUUGACUGUAAUUUUCCACUACCUACCAAAAUCCUAUAAAACAGCCCCACCCCUAUCUCCCUUAUCUGACUCUUUUCGGAUUCAGCCUGCCUGCACCCAGGUGAUUAAAAAGCUUUAUUGCUCACACAAA
rnacentral:lncRNA from 1 species